UACGGAGGGUGCAAACGUUGCUCGGAAUCAUUGGGCGUAAAGCGCGCGCAGGCGGCCUUUCAAGUCAGGGGUGAAAGCCCGGAGCUCAACUCCGGAAUUGCCUUUGAAACUGUCAGGCUCGAGUACGGGAGAGGUGAGUGGAAUUCCCAGUGUAGAGGUGGAAUUCGUAGAUAUUAGGAAGAACACCAGUGGCGAAGGCGGCUCACUGGUCCGGUACUGACGCUGAGGUGCGAAAGCGUGGGGAGCAAACAGG
rnacentral:rRNA from 1 species